GCGGAGUCUCGAGACCAGCAUAUUACAACCUUAAGGACGCCAUGGGGAACGAACGUCUCUAAUUUCUACCAUAGAGUUAUCGAGGGCUAGCACGGACCAUAGCUACUACCGGCGCUUUCCGGCCGUUAUCGGAUGUUGAAUGGCUAUGUUUCCCUUUCCCGCGUCUUUUCUCCGAGAGCAUGCUGGGAAACGUUAUUAAAGAAACACGUCUUCCGUUUCAUUGGUCUUUCCUGUGCCGCGCUCGACGGAGAUGGGAAGUCUCGCCAGGGGCUGUUAGGGGGAAAGCAAGGUUACUACAGAAUUGGUGGAAAGAAGAAGGUGCUUUAAUAAUUGAUUACAGAAUUCAUCUGCAGCUGACAAAGUGAUGUUUAUAUUUCAAUAAAAAUAUAUAAAAACCGAA